rnacentral:lncRNA from 1 species
CGUUUUUGAGGACCGUUGCUCGGUGUCUCGACCGUUUUUUUGCUGAAAGUUCUAGAGGCUGCCCGGAGCUCCACUCCUGAGACUUUUGCCUUUCCCCAAGGAAUAAAAGAGGUCACAUGAUGACAGCUGUGCCCUUAACAUCCAGAUCCCAGGUGGGGCAAGGUAGGACGUCAUUGGCCGAUCAGAGAUCUGGGUGCCUGCAUAGGGCAAGCCAGCAAGAAUGAAGGACUGGCAUGAAUGCAGCGCUGGUAAAUGGCAGGAGUAUGAGUCACCCAGAUGACUACUGGAAUAUAUAGAGUGGACGAGGCUUGGGACUAAGGUGCUGGCCGUUUCCUUCCACAUAAUUACCUUCAUGUGCAGAUCCAAGCCCAGCUGCCACAUAGCAGGUUCAGCUCUCUGUGUGGAGAUAUACUUGGUUCUCACUGGGAAAGUGUGCUGAGCUCCGGCUUGCUGCCUCACAUUCUGCAUCCUUUUCUGCCACACCUUCCACAUUUCACACAAAACUGGUGUUAUUGUAAGAGUCCUUCCCUGGCCUCUCAGUGAUGGUUUUGACCAUCAUCAUACCUUGAAGUUUGAGAGUGUAGAAGUUAUUGUUUCAGGACUCAGAGACUUUUGAGGACAUGGCAGUGCAAGUCACCUAGAAGGAAUGGGCCAGCUUGAAGUCCACCAGGAAGGCCUUGUACACGGAAGUGAUGAUGGAGAACUGCAGGGCCAUGGCUUCCCUGGGUAAGGCCUCUCUGCUACCCAUCUCUGCCUGGGCCCUCAGAGAUGGAAGGACUCCUUUGUUUACCAGAUGACCUCAAAUGGCAGUGUCAGAGGUUGGCAGCAGCAUCUGUUGAGAGACCAGCUCUGAACUUUCAGCUGGAGCAAGAGAGGGAAGCCCUAAUCAGGGGCGGCUGGGAUCCAGGCCUUGCAGGUGGAACACCCAGGCUGAGACCGAGCAUUUCAGUAAUUACUGACAGACAG